rnacentral:rRNA from 1 species
UACGUAGGGGGCAAGCGUUGUCCGGAAUCAUUGGGCGUAAAGCGUGCGUAGGUGGUUCGUUAAGUCUGUCGUGAAAGCCCCGGGCUCAACCUGGGAAUGGCGAUGGAUACUGGCGGGCUAGAGUGCGGUAGAGGGUGGUGGAAUUCCCGGUGUAGCAGUGAAAUGCGUAGAUAUCAGGAGGAACACCGGCGGCGAAGGCGGCUUCCUGGACCGAUACUGACGCUGAGACGCGAAAGCGUGGGGAGCAAACAGG